UGUUAGUGGGGGACAACGUUCCGAAAGGAACGCUAAUACCGCAUACGCCCUACGGGGGAAAGCAGGGGAUCUUCGGGCCUUGCGCUAACAGAUGAGCCUAGGUCGGAUUAGCUAGUUGGUGAGGUAAUGGCCUACCAAGGCGACGAUCCGUAACGGGUCUGAGAGGAUGAUCCGCCACACUGGAACUGAGACACGGCCCAGACUCCUACGGGAGGCAGCAGUGGGGAAUAUUGGACAAUGGGCGAAAGCCUGAUCCAGCCAUGCCGCGUGUGUGAAGAAGGCCUUUUGAUUGUAAAGCAC
rnacentral:rRNA from 1 species